rnacentral:tRNA from 1 species
GCCGUCGGUGUACGGAUCUGGCCGACUGGAGCGCUUCACUCAGAAUGAAGGGGUCCGCGGUUCGAGUCCGCGCGUCGGCU